rnacentral:rRNA from 1 species
UACGAAGGGGGCUAGCGUUGCUCGGAAUCACUGGGCGUAAAGGGCGCGUAGGCGGGUUUUUAAGUCGGGGGUGAAAUCCUGUGGCUCAACCACAGAAUGGCCUUCGAUACUGGGGACCUUGAGUCUGGUAGAGGUUGGUGGAACUGCGAGUGUAGAGGUGAAAUUCGUAGAUAUUCGCAAGAACACCGGUGGCGAAGGCGGCCAACUGGACCAGCACUGACGCUGAGGCGCGAAAGCGUGGGGAGCAAACAGG